rnacentral:rRNA from 1 species
UACGUAGGGUGCGAGCGUUGUCCGGAAUUAUUGGGCGUAAAGAGCUCGUAGGCGGUCUGUCGCGUCUGCUGUGAAAACCCGAGGCUCAACCUCGGGCCUGCAGUGGGUACGGGCAGACUAGAGUGCGGUAGGGGAGAAUGGAAUUCCUGGUGUAGCGGUGGAAUGCGCAGAUAUCAGGAGGAACACCAAUGGCGAAGGCAGAUCUCUGGGCCGUAACUGACGCUGAGGAGCGAAAGCAUGGGGAGCGAACAGG